AGGCUUGGUUUCCUGGGAAGUGGGCUCAGCCUCCUCCACUUCCCCUCAGCAGAGCCUACAAUAGAGGGGCCAGGCCUCCUCCAUGGGAGAGGUGUUUGUGGAAGGAGCCUUGCCUAGUCUGGCCUGGCCUCACACUU
ensembl:scaRNA